UACGUAGGGGCGAGCGUUGUCCGGAAUGACUGGGCGUAAAGGGCGUGUAGGCGGCCGAUUAAGUCCGGAGUGAAAGUCCUGCUUUCAAGGUGGGAAUUGCUUUGGAAACUGGUAGGCUUGAGUGCGGAAGAGGUAAGUGGAAUUCCCAGUGUAGCGGUGAAAUGCGUAGAGAUUGGGAGGAACACCAGUGGCGAAGGCGACUUACUGGUCUGUAACUGACACUGAGGCGCGAAAGCGUGGGGAGCAAACAGGAUUAGAUACCCCCGUAGUCCCUGAGCGGGCU
rnacentral:rRNA from 1 species